AUCAUGUUGUUUAAUUCGAUGAUACGCGAAGAACCUUACCAGGUCUUGACACUCCCCCGCGAUGCUUUAGAGAUAAAGCGGAGGUAUUCGGGGAGACAGGUGGUGCAUGGUUGUCGUCAGCUCGUGUCGUGAGAUGUUGGGUUAAGUCCCGCAACGAGCGCAACCCUAUUGCUAGUUACCAUCAUUAAGUUGGGGACUCUAGCGAGACUGCCAGUGAUAAACUGGAGGAAGGUGGGGAUGACGUCAAAUCAUCAUGCCCCUUAUGACCUGGGCUACAAACGUGAUACAAUGGCUGGAACAAAGGGAUGCGAAGCAGUGAUGUGGAGCGAAACCCAUAAAAACAGUCUCAGUUCGGAUUGAAGUCUGCAACUCGACUUCAUGAAGUCGGAAUCGCUAGUAAUCGCGGAUCAGAACGCCGCGGUGAAUACGUUCUCGGGGUUU
rnacentral:rRNA from 1 species